rnacentral:rRNA from 1 species
AGAGUUUGAUCCUGGCUCAGGAUGAACGCUGGCUGUGUGCCUAAUACAUGCAUGUCGAGCGGAGUUCUUCGGAACUUAGCGGCGAAUGGGUGAGUAACACGUACUUAACAUGCCUUUUAGAUUGGGACAACGAUGAGAAAUUAUCGCUAAUACCGGAUACUUAUAUGGUUCGCAUGAACUAUAUAUAAAAGAAGCCUUUAAAGCUUCACUAAAAGAUUGGGGUGCGGAACAUUAGCUAGUUGGUAAGGUAAUGGCUUACCAAGGCGAUGAUGUUUAGCGGGGUUGAGAGACUGAUCCGCCACACUGGGACUGAGAUACGGCCCAGACUCCUACGGGAGGCAGCAGUAGGGAAUUUUCCACAAUGGACGAAAGUCUGAUGGAGCGACACAGCGUGCAGGAUGAAGGCCUUCGGGUUGUAAACUGCUGUUAUAAGGGAAGAAAAAGCAGUAGAGGAAAUGCUAUUGCCUUGACGGUACCUUGUCAGAAAGCAACGGCUAACUAUGUGCCAGCAGCCGCGGUAAUACAUAGGUUGCAAGCGUUAUCCGGAAUUAUUGGGCGUAAAGCGUCUGUAGGUUGUAUGUUAAGUCUGGCGUGAAAACUUGGGGCUCAACCCCAAAUUGCGUUGGAUACUGGCAUGCUAGAAUUGUGUAGAGGUUAGCGGAAUUCCUAGUGAAGCGGUGAAAUGCGUAGAUAUUAGGAAGAACAUCAACAUGGCGAAGGCAGCUAACUGGGCACAUAUUGACACUGAGAGACGAAAGCGUGGGGAGCAAACAGGAUUAGAUACCCUGGUAGUCCACGCUGUAAACGAUGAUGAUUAGCUGAUAGUAAAACUAUCGGCACAGCUAACGCAUUAAAUCAUCCGCCUGAGUAGUAUGCUCGCAAGAGUGAAACUUAAAGGAAUUGACGGGGAUCCGCACAAGCGGUGGAGCAUGUGGUUUAAUUUGAAGAUACCGUAGAACCUUACCCACUCUUGACAUCUUCCGCAAAGCUAUAGAGAUAUAGUGGAGGCUAACGGAAUGACAGAUGGUGCAUGGUUGUCGUCAGCUCGUGUCGUGAGAUGUUCGGUUAAGUCCUGCAACGAGCGCAACCCUUGUCCUUAGUUAAUUUUCUAGGGAGACUGCCCGAGUAAUUGGGAGGAAGGUGGGGACGACGUCAAAUCAUCAUGCCUCUUACGAGUGGGGCAACACACGUGCUACAAUGGAUGGUACAAAGAGAAGCAAAACGGCGACGUCAAGCAAAUCUCAAAAAACCAUUCUCAGUUCGGAUUGUAGUCUGCAACUCGACUACAUGAAGUCGGAAUCGCUAGUAAUCGUAGAUCAGCUACGCUACGGUGAAUACGUUCUCGGGUCUUGUACACACCGCCCGUCACACCAUGGGAGCUGGUAAUGCCCGAAGUCGGUUUUGUUAACUACGGAGACAACUGCCUAAGGCAGGGCCGGUGACUGGGGUGAAGUCGUAACAAGGUAUCCCUACGAGAACGUGGGGAUGGAUUACCU